AUGGCGCCGCUGAGUGCCAUCUCCUCCAUCUCCUCCCUGUGCCGGCGCAUGUGGCCCCCGAGCGCCUGGCCCGUCUCGAAGCCGAGCCCGCAGAUGUGGCAGUCGUGCUGCUUGUCCUCCUGCCGCUUCCGCUCCUUGAUCGCCCUGGCGACGCCGACGCCGAGCUCGAGCCCAUGGCGGCCCCGGAGGUGGCUGGUCCGGUGCCCGCCCAGCGCCUGGAACGUCUCGAAGGCCCGGCCGCACGUCUUGCACACGAACUCGCCCUCCCCGGACGUGGCCACAGCUCUCCCCCGCCGCGUCCUUUUCCCGGCGUCCGCCGCCAGCGCACUGGCCGAGUCCGCCGAGGUGGUGGUGGACGUCGAGGAAUCUGAGCUGAGCGACAGCGCGAGGGACACAAAUGGCGCCUCCUCCCUCGCGCGCUUCAUGCCCGCUCCCAUGGAUUUGCUGCUUAUCUUAACGAUCCGCUGUAAUCUGUAA
rnacentral:rRNA from 1 species